UUUCCGUAGGUGAACCUGCGGAAGGAUCAUUACCGUGCCUGGGUUCCUUCGGGGGCCCGACAUACCUACCCUUUGUAGUACUUAAACACGUUGCUUUGGCGGGACGGCGGCGCCUCACGGCGCUGCCGCUGGGCCCAAAAUCGUCCGGAGAGUUCCCGCCAGAGGACCACAAAGAAACACUCAGCUUCAACAAGAACGUCAGAGUUUGAAUUUUAGUAAAUCAAAACUUUCAACAACGGAUCUCUUGGUUCUGGCAUCGAUGAAGAACGCAGC
rnacentral:misc_RNA from 1 species